CCUACGGGAGGCAGCAGUGAGGAAUAUUGGUCAAUGGGCGGAAGCCUGAACCAGCCAAGUAGCGUGAAGGAUGACUGCCCUAUGGGUUGUAAACUUCUUUUAUAUGGGAAUAAAAUGUUCCACGUGUGGGAUUUUGUAUGUACCAUAUGAAUAAGGAUCGGCUAACUCCGUGCCAGCAGCCGCGGUAAUACGGAGGAUCCGAGCGUUAUCCGGAUUUAUUGGGUUUAAAGGGAGCGUAGGUGGAUUGUUAAGUCAGUUGUGAAAGUUUGCGGCUCAACCGUAAAAUUGCAGUUGAUACUGGCAGUCUUGAGUACAGUAGAGGUGGGCGGAAUUCGUGGUGUAGCGGUGAAAUGCUUAGAUAUCACGAAGAACUCCGAUUGCGAAGGCAGCUCACUGGACUGCAACUGACACUGAGGCUCGAAAGUGUGGGUAUCAAACAGGAUUAGAUACCCCAGUAGUC
rnacentral:rRNA from 1 species